CUGUCCAAGCAGUGCCGCUGCAAGCAGACGACGCUAUGCGGUGUAAAUGGUUUCAGACGGCAGAAACGACCCCACGUGUGAGGUUUUGACGGUACCGUAUGAAUAAGGAUCGGCUCACUCCCGGCCCAGCAGCCGCGGUAAUGCGAAGGAUCCAAGCGCUAUCCGGAGUCAUUGGGUUUAAAGGGUCCGUAGGCGGGAUGAUAAGUCAGGUGGUGAAAGUCUGCAGCUUAACUGUAGAACUGCCAUUGAUACUGUUGUCCUUGAGUAAUUAUGAAGUGGUUAGAAUAUGUAGUGUAGCGGUGAAAUGCAUAGAUAUUACAUAGAAUACCGAUUGCGAAGGCAGAUCACUAAUAAUUACUGACGCUGAUGGACGAAAGCGUAGGUAGCGAACAGGAUUAGAUACCCCGGUAGUCUACGCCGUAAACGAUGGUUACUAGCUGUUCGGAUCGAUUGAGAUCUGAGUGGCUAAGCGAAAGUGAUAAGUAACCCACCUGGGGAGUACGUUCGCAAGAAUGAAACUCAAAGGAAUUGACGGGGGCCCGCACAAGCGGUGGAGCAUGUGGUUUAAUUCGAUGAUACGCGAGGAACCUUACCAGGGCUUAAAUGUAGUCUGACAGGGGUGGAAACACCCCCUCCUUCGGGCAGACUACAAGGUGCUGCAUGGUUGUCGUCAGCUCGUGCCGUGAGGUGUCAGGUUAAGUCCUAUAACGAGCGCAACCCCUGUGGUUAGUUGCCAGCGAGUAAUGUCGGGAACUCUAGCCAGACUGCCGGUGCAAACCGUGAGGAAGGUGGGGAUGACGUCAAAUCAUCACGGCCCUUACGUCCUGGGCCACACACGUGCUACAAUGGUAAGGACAGAGAGCAGCCACUGGGUGACCAGGAGCGAAUCUAUAAACCUUAUCACAGUUCGGAUCGGAGUCUGCAACUCGAUUCCGUGAAGCUGGAAUCGCUAGUAAUCGCAUAUCAGCCAUGACGCGGUGAAUACGUUCCCGGG
rnacentral:rRNA from 1 species